rnacentral:misc_RNA from 1 species
UUUCCGUAGGUGAACCUGCGGAAGGAUCAUUAGUGAGUUGUCAUGGGGUUCGAUGCUGGCAGCCAAUUUUUGGAUGCAUGUGCUUGCCCUAACAAUCAUCUUCCAAACACCUGUGCACAUUUUUGAGGGAGUCUUGAGUUGGUUGCCGCUCUUGGGUGAUUUUCUCACAUUCCCUUAAAUCAUUAUACGCUAUUAACAAUGUUGAACGUGGUCUGUGCCGCAAGGCUAUUAAUAUAAUACAACUUUUAACAACGGAUCUCUUGGCUCUC